AGAAAGCCCAAUUCCAUCUGGCCCCUGCAGGUUGGCUCAGCACUGGGGAAUCAGAGUCCCCUCCAUGACCAAGGCACCACUCCACUGACAGACUCUGUUAAUCAGCUUGCUUGGCUGGCCUCCAACCAUAGGUCCAGGGGCUGAGACAAGGUCCUUUUGAGCUCCUAUGUGGGAGGCUCUGGAAAGCUUAGCAACACUUUCCAACAACUUUGCCAGGGUCACAUCUCCCAGGAAGAUCUCACUUCCCCACAGAAGCUCUUGGCCUGGCCUCCUGCAGUGCCACGCUCCGUGUAUUUGACAAGCUGAGUUGGACACUCCAUGUGCCUUCUCCUGUGUCAAUGUCCAAUGAAGCACGAUUUGGGAAACUGUCCUAGAGAAACUUUAUACCUUCCCGCUCUUCUGGAGAUCUUUUCCUCUUUUCAUUCAUCUACUUUCCCCAACCAGCCAUCUGCCUAAGAAAGGUCACAUGUUAUCAUCUCAUUUUUGUUUAGCCUCUGCAGCUGUGGACUAUCUUUAUUACAUAGGAAUUCUUUACUAGCUUGUCCUGUAUUUAAAAAUAUUCUAAGUUUUGAGGCAAAGAAGAUCCAGAUGCUGCAAUAAAUAUAUGCACUGAGGAGUUCACA
rnacentral:lncRNA from 1 species